UAAUACGAAGGGGGCUAGCGUUGCUCGGAAUCACUGGGCGUAAAGCGCACGUAGGCGGAUUGUUAAGUCAGGGGUGAAAUCCUGGAGCUCAACUCCAGAACUGCCUUUGAUACUGGCAAUCUCGAGUCCGGGAGAGGUGAGUGGAACUGCGAGUGUAGAGGUGAAAUUCGUAGAUAUUCGCAAGAACACCAGUGGCGAAGGCGGCUCACUGGCCCGGUACUGACGCUGAGGUGCGAAAGCGUGGGGAGCAAAC
rnacentral:rRNA from 1 species